AGGUAAAUGUGACGAUUACCGUGAUGUCAUGAUGCUGUGUUACCAUAGUAACCGUGAUGUAUAACAGUAGUGUGUCAGAUGCGUGAUGUUGUAGUGUUAGACACAGGAACACACUCUACAAAAGCCGGUUUCAGCGGUGAGAGUGUUCCCCGCCUUAUCACGCCUACUGUAGUAGGACAUGAUUACACAGGAGACUCGGUAAGGUAUGUGGGGAGCGAAGCGUUGAAGAGAAGGAGCAAGGUAAAGAUAGUACAACCAGUCAGAAGAGGCAGAAUACACAACUGGGACGACAUUGAGCAGGUGUGGCAACAUACACUAGAGGUGGAGUUAAGUGUAGAUCCUGAGCUACACCCAGUCCUCCUUACUGAGUCUACUCAGGAACCGGUUAGGCACAGGGAGAGGAAGACUGAGAUCUUCUUCGAGACCCUGAGAGUUCCUCAGUUCUCCCUAGCAACCCAGUCUGUCCUGGCAUUGCAUGCGGAGGGGUGCACGUCGGGUGUUGUGGUGGAUAUUGGAGCUGGACAUGCUGCCGUGGUUCCUGUGCUGGAGGGUAAGCUGAUUCCGUACGCUCUCGAGCCGAUGUCAAGAAGUGGAGAGGAUCUGACUAAACGACUUUUAGUCUCUCUGAAACAGUAUGGAUUUAGAAACGAUCUCCACACCCACUGGGAUAUUGCUAAUCACAUUAAAGAGACGAUGAGUUGUUUAGAUCCGCCCUGCUCCGGACACUACACCCUGCCUGACCUGUCAGAGAUCACCCUGUCCCCCUCCCAACGGUCCCUCCCCGGCACCCUGCUGGAGGGUCCUGGUUACCAUGGUAACACCCUGAUGGAGGGUCCUGACUCAGUGCAAUCCUCCUUCUCAUCCGCUAUAUCCCGGCUUGACCAGGAUAUGAGCGCCAUGUUGUGCCGCCAUGUGGUGCUAGCGGGCGGAACUACAGACUGUCCCGGCUUCAGAGCGCACUUGUUACGGAGUCUGGAGGCGGCCGGCGCCAUGGUAACAAUGACUCAGGGGGCAGGGAGCAGAGCAAGUAGUGGGAGGUACAAAUCCUGGGUUGGAGGGUCCGUGCUCGCCUCCCUCUCUACCUUCUCUAGAAUGAGUGUGUUGAGAAUACGAGCCGGAGUCCUCCUGCAGCUACACGCUCCUCAACGGAGGCGACGAGAGGAAACGAGGGAACCAACGGCGGCUACACCACCACCACCCCAGUAGGGGAUAAGAAGAUAAAAACCAACAAGAUGGAAGAUACGACCUCUACCUCCUGGGUCACCGGACCCUCUACUUCAGAGAACGGGGUGGUUCCCGGGGUAACCAGCUCACCUAACUACAACCAACAAGUCAACAGACCUUACUGCAUCAUCAACGGACAGUUCUAUUACGCAGGUCCACAGAAGAUCUACUUUGGUUGUUUCUUCGUGUGCGAGUGUUUGGGAUACGGAGAGUUCGCUUGCUCGCCUCUCUGCAAGCCGGUAAGAACAUUUUCAGGAAAAGUGUGAUCAAAAGUGAUUUAAGUAAUUUUAUGAUUCCUCUCUCGAAUUCCGAGUUCAUUAGAAUUGAUUGAUUGUCCUCAAUAACAGCCCCCAACCUCAAUUCUGGUGUUCCUUUUACCUAACAUUCCCCUAAGCGCUCAUUUCAGGAGAAUAAGCCGUGUCCCAGUAACAGGUGGAUGAAGGAAAGGAGGGGGUGUUGCGACGAGUACAUCUGCCUGGGAUGAGAGGGUUUCCUGUUACGGUGACGUCACUCAUGAUAACACUUCCUGUUACAGUGACGUCACUCAUGAGAGCACUUCCUGUUACGGUGAUGUCACUGAUUAGCUGCAAAAACCCUGCAGAGAAAGAGCAGACAAAUAUGUUCAUGGGAUGAGCGCAAACAAUGACUUGGUGUCGUUUAAAUCAGUUGUAACUGUUGGAUGGCUGAUAAUCCCCAGUUCAAACAAGGACUUCAGGCACUGAGGGGCUAAGUGUGAGACACUAAUUCAACACUGACUCCGAGUUGUUUAAUUUAAUAAGUUUAUUUUUGUAGUAAUUUAAUGAUUCAUAGGUUUUUCAUAUGAUCAAAUGUUUUGUUUUUAUACGAAUAGUGGUGCGGUUGAUGAGCUAGCAAAUUUGUUUCUGCAUCAGAUGAUUUAAUAACGAUG